CAGGCAUACAGAGUGAGUGUCCUUGAGGGAAGGUUCUAUACUGGCUUUAAAGUGUUACAGCUGAAUAAUCAUCCUUCGUGUUGGUAGCUGGAGAGCCCUACUUCCUCUUUGAUUUAUAACCCAGGAGGUUUCCUCAGGAUGGUAUCACGCCCACUCCCACAAACUGGAAGCCACAAAGACCAACUUCCUUAGCCUAUUUAAGAGGAGUGGUUUGGUGGCAGACUCUGUGGCAGAGGACAGCUCCUCCCUGGGCCUUACACAAGGCGGGAGCACAAGGCCCUUGAGUGCCGGGGCCAGGAGCUCCAGGGCUGUCGUCACCGAGCUGUUGAAAGGCUGCUGUGGACUAAAGGUUACAGAGGUUACAGACUGCUCUGCUCACCCCUUAUCAGCCACCCUGCGGCAAUAAGACUAAUGCGCUAGAUUAAACCUUGAGCAGAGGGAAACUCCUAAAGGUAUUUUCUUUGGCGUGAUCUUCUUUCUUUCAUCUGUCAUUGCCUCUUGUUGGAUAACUGUAAAGCGCAAAAAAGGCAAGUGAGGAGUGAAGUGGCCAGAAGUGGUGUUAGCAGGGAAAAGUGCAGCUAUAAAUCCAAGUCACCGGCCUGAGGUGGUGGUUAGGGUCCAGCUGAAAGCAGUGUUGUAAUUAGUGGCGUCUUCUCACGGUGGCGGUGUGAUCCGGGACUGAAGGACCUGAUGGCUAUAACUAGCCCUCUCCUCCAUCACAGGAUUCUGCUCCAACUGUUUACCAGCAAGAAUACAGAUGGGAAACCUAAAGAGAUGAUCCAUUUACAUCCUCAAGAAGACAACAGUGUAAAGCCUCAGACUCUGCAAACCAAUCAGGAAGACAGCAGCAGGUACCUCAUGUAAAUCCUGAACUCAUGUCUUGGAAAGCUCAAGUACUGAAAAAUGAGAAUAGGAUCUGCAUAGGUUGCUGGUCUAGCUGGAUCCCUGGAGCCGGGGGUCAGAAGGUACUACAGGAAGUGGAAAUGCCUUGUUGCUGUUGUGUUGGAUUCUGGCUGUUUCCAGCAGUUGGAGAGAGAGAGAGCACAAGUCAGGGGAAAAGGAGAAAGAGUAAUUCAUCCCCACUGAGCAAGGAGCCCAAUGUGAGCUUGUACCAGGACUUUGAAAUUAUGACCUGAACUGUGGUCAAAUGCUUAACUGACUGAGCCACCCAGGCACUCCUGGAUUAGUCAAUUAUGACAUGUACCACACUUUGUAUUUAUGGGUAAGCACCUCCUUUUAAAAUUUCCCUAAAUUUCUGAGUAGAGACUUUAUCAAAUGAGAAGUAUUAAUAUGUGAGUAAAUUUACCAAAAUUUUAUUUUAACUAACAUUUUGGAAGUGUUCUUUUGCAUCAAGGUACAUGUCUAACUGUUUACCUUCACCGUUGACAAACUUUUAAUAAAUGGUAGGAAGUCCUUAAUGAAUUUGUCUCCAAUCUCUUUUCUAAGACCGCAGUUUUGGCCAUAAUGUUCUCGAGGAGCAGGGCUGAUCAUCUGUGGCAACAUACGGUAGACAAGGAAUGACUCAAAAUCUGCACCCUGCGCCCAAGCCAGGUGCAAGGGCCAAGAGGGUGACACAGGUAAAGAGGCAGACUCCAAAGACACUGCUGCGUGCUAAAGGACAUGAGAAUGUUCAAAGAUGACACAGGUAAUAAAUUAUGUUGGGCAAUCUUGUGAGGUGGAGAGAGGAACACGGAGGGAUCAGGUGGCAGUAAUAAUAGGGGGUGUCAGGUGAGCGGCUGGGCCUCCGCAGCGAUCUGUCCCCUGGUGGGAGGACAGUCAUCCUGGCCUUAAGCAUGGCCAGGGAAGUGUUUGGACAUCUUGGACUAUAUGGUAUCUUCUGCAAAUCGUGACUGCCGUAGGGGCAGGACAUGCUCUCGGAGGCAGAGCCUCGUCCAAACUACCAGCUCCUGUUUACUCUCCCUGCCAUGGCCUGGCUCAGAGAAAAGAGAGAAGAAAUAUUUUGUGUGUUAUGAGGGACCUCUAUGUUUCUGGAACGAGGCUCUUUCUAUUUAGUUGCUCAAUUGUGAGAACACUUUUCCUUUGGCAAAAAAAAAAAAAAAAAAAAAGCGAUGAGGAAAGGUCAACUUCUUCAUUAAUCUCUCUCUUAUCUACUCAGUGUCUCAACUUUGGCCGUAUUUUCUUGGGCCCUACACAGCAACCACGAAGGAGGGCAGAAACACAUCUUCUGAACUCGUCAUUAUGUGUAACGCUAGUAUCACCAUUUUAAGCAGCAAAUUCUUGGGUUGUUCCCUUGUCACCCAUGCUGUCACCUGAAUAAAAAUAUCCUGCUAUUUCAGUGCCCUUCCUUGACAAAGUACCACAGAGCUGAGGAACACCUUGAGUCACAAUGUUGUUGGAAAGGAGCCUAUUCAACAGAGUAAGAUGUGAGACUCAUACAGUGACAGACUUGACCUCGCAGAGACCAGACAUGUGCCCAAGAAGAUGCUGACACACUCCCAGGAGCCCGUAAAAGCUCCCUCCUCUUAGUGUGGAUUACUGUCAGUCCUCCUGCUCUCCCCCGCUGAAUGCACACCUCAGCUAGUAAGGGGAAAAGACUGCACUCAGGGUUUAUAAAUAGUCUCAGUUACGGAAAGGAAGAUGGCGUCACUUUGGAUUUGUUUACAAGCUUGUGAUUUCCCUUUCUCACUUUCAAAUAAAUGUUCAUACUAUGGAAUGGGCUCAUUAAUGAGAGGAUCAAAAUCCAGGAGGAAGAUAUGAAAAACAAAUAAGUCACACAUAAUUAUACUAUUCAGUGAUAACCACUGUUAAUAUUUUGCUUUUUGCUAACCUUUCUUCAUACAUGUUUGCUUCUUUAUACACAGAUCUUUCUUAAUAGCCACUUUUUCUUCUGUAGAGCAAAAUCUAUUAGAACAGAAAAAUAUAGCUAGAUCCGUUUUUGCUAUCACUAGGAAAAAAGUAUUUUCUGUUUAUUAUAUACAAUGCUGAAGCAACCACAGUGUCUUUUGUUUAGACAGAAGGGGGAGAGGUUUUCAAGAGAAACUUCUUAAACAAUGAGAUCUGGGGCUCUAUUUCAAAAGCAAUUUGUACUGUGUGUCUAAAACAUACUAACUUAAAUAAAAGGAUAACUUUAUUAUAAAGCAAGUGACUUACUUUUUGUAUAGAUUCAGAAUAUACUCAAUAAACUAGGAAACCAUGAAUUUAAGAGUUGCAACAUUAAUGUACAGGUCUCUAAAUAAGUGGUCCUGGAGUCCGUAACUGGUCCACACACUUACAGAUCGGCCAUGCUAACGAUCUAGAAGAUACCAGAAUCUUUCUGGGUAGUUAACAACAGACUUGCAUAUGAUGACUGCUAACUACUGUGUAAUUCUGGGUUGCUUUUCAAGUGUAUUGUGCCACACUUACCUUGAUAAAUAUAAAGAGGGAACUGGAUAUCAACUUGAAGUUUUCUUUAAAAUCAUAGAAGAAAGGGGGAAAAACAGCAUUAACGAAGUCAACUGACAAACUAGGAGGAAAAAAUUACAACCUAUAUCAUAGACAAGGGUAACUGAGAUAUUUAGAGAGUAAAAAAGUCAAAGACCAAACCUCCUCGCCUCUCCUCCCUGUAAAUAGGCAAAGGAUAUCCAACUGGGCCUUCAAUAAAAGAAAGGCAAGUAACCAAUUAAUAUAUGAAAAGAUCCUCAAUGGUUUUGCUUAGUUGAAACUUGGGGAAACCUUGGGAAAUAUAUUAGGUCUUGAGUUUCUGAAGAAGCACACUUUAAACAAGGGCUAGAAAUUAACUGAUGGGAAUUGGCCUUUCUUAGAAUUAACAUUCCCUAUCACAAGAAAAAAAUGUAAAUUUUUUUAUCCCCCCAGAAUGCAGUAGGUCAGUGAGCAUUGUGAUGACCAUGCCAUUGAAUUUCAAAGAAUUCAUAAAAUUUUUUGCCUGUGACAUCAGUGAUCCAUGGGAAAUCUUGCUUAUACUAACUAUGGGUGAAAUACUGACCUGUCUAACUUCAUUUGUAUUGCUGACUAAUUCUGUUAACCUCUGGCCUUACAUUUUUCAUCUGAGAAGCUGGUCUCCAAGAUUAUUCUUAGUGCUAACAAGCUAAUUUUGUUUCUCAUUUCCUUUUUGUGUACACGUAAUUUUGACAUGGAAGUUAAAAAGUCUAUGACAUUUAAAUGGUAUGUUCUAUUUUCAUCACUAUAAUGGGAGAGGAAUAAAAGAUUUUUUUUCCUUCUAAA